rnacentral:misc_RNA from 1 species
GAUGAAGAACGUAGUGAAAUGCGAUAAGUAAUGUGAAUUGCAGAAUUCAGUGAAUCAUCGAAUCUUUGAACGCACAUUGCGCCCCUUGGUAUCCCGAGGGGCAUGCCUGUUCGAGCGUCAUUUCACCACUCAAGCCUGGCUUGGUGUUGGGCGACGUCCUCUUUGGGGACGCGCCUCGAAACGCUCGGCGGCGUGGCACCGGCUUUAAGCGUAGCAGAAUCUUUCGCUUUGGAAGUCGGGGCCCCGUCUGCCGGAAGACCUGCUCGCAAGGUUGACCUCGGAUCAGGCAGGGAUACCCGCUGAACUUAAGAAUAUCAAUAAGCGGAGGA